CUACGGGUGGCUGCAGUGGGGAAUAUUGCACAAUGGGGGGAACCCUGAUGCAGCAACGCCGCGUGGAGGAUGACGCAUUUCGGUGUGUAAACUCCUUUUAUAUGUCAAGAAAAUGACGGUAGCAUAUGAAUAAGCACCGGCUAACUCCGUGCCAGCAGCCGCGGUAAUACGGAGGGUGCAAGCGUUACUCGGAAUCACUGGGCGUAAAGGACGCGUAGGCGGGUUGGAAAGUCAGGUGUGAAAUCCUACAGCUUAACUGUAGAACUGCACUUGAAACUUCUAAUCUAGAGUAUGGGAGGGGGAGAUAGAAUUAGUGGUGUAGGGGUAAAAUCCGUAGAGAUCACUAGGAAUACCUAAAGCGAAGGCGAUCUCCUGGAACAUUACUGACGCUAAGGCGUGAAAGCGUGGGGAGCAAACAGGAUUAGAUACCCUCGUAGUC
rnacentral:rRNA from 1 species